rnacentral:rRNA from 1 species
CUCUUAAUUGAAAUAAAUUUAAUAUUAAGUAAGGCCUGCCCGGUGAACUAUUAAACGGCUAUUUAAUAAUACUAAGGUAGCGUAGUAAGUUAUCAUUUAAUUAAUGAAUAUAAUGAAGGUUAAAUGAAUUAUUUUCUGUCUUUAAAGAAUAAAAUUAAAUUAAUUUUUUAGUGAAAAAUCUUAAAUAAAUUUAAAAGACGAUAAGACCCUAUAGAACUUAUCUAAUAUUUAGAUUUACUGGGGUAGUAAGAAUAAAAAAGUAACUAUUCUUUAAUUUAUAAACUUAUAGUUUUUAUAUCCAGCGUUGAUUAAAAAGUUACCUUAGGGAUAACAGCAUUAAUUAUAUUAAAAGUUACUUAUUUAAAUAAUUUUUAAUGACCUCGAUGUUGAAUUAAGAUAAAUUAAUAAAGCAAACGUUUUAGUAAAUUAGGUCUGUUCGACCUUUAAAAUCUU